CGCUUUGGGUCCCGCCCGGGGAUGCUCCCGCCGCUCCCAGCCCGCCGGGUUACUCGGCUUCCCGCGGGCGCGUCCCGGACGCGCGCGCGCGCCCCCGGAUGCCCUGCCGAGGACCCGGUGCAGAGUAAGAGCUUUUGAAGAAAACUGCAUGCUUACCAGCAGGGACGACACAUGCCUUGAAAACUCCCUUGGGAAGGAGUCUGUGGAAGAGACUUAGCCACCUCUUGAGAAAUAAGGACAUCCCCCAGCGACAACGACAGGCACCUGCUUUUGGAGCUUGAGUUCAAAUGUUAACCUUGUUUGCAAGGAUACUAUUUAACUCUCAUAGGAAUUCCUAUUCCGAGGUCAUACUCAGGGCGUAGUUCUGCCUUGAGUGUUCAUGCCUCUGGUUCUUUACCGUCAACAAAGAAUGGGUUCACAUUGCCUGCGGUAUAGGGGGACUCCGGCACUGACACAGCAGCGAGUGGAUGACCGGAGAAUCCCGCUUCGUCCUUAUAGUUCAGCCUGCUUUCAAAGAGUCGUCCUGGAGUGAUCUUUAUUUGCAAAGCCCGCUUCACAUGAGUGGGAACCUCACUUUCUGAGAGCCUGGCUGGGUUCUCCU
rnacentral:lncRNA from 1 species